rnacentral:rRNA from 1 species
UACGGAGGGUGCGAGCGUUGUCCGGAAUCAUUGGGCGUAAAGGGCGCGUAGGUGGCGGCUUAAGCGUGCGGUGAAAGCUCGGGGCUCAACCCCGAGUCGGCCGUGCGAACUGAGUCGCUUGAGCACUGUAGAGGCAGGCGGAAAUUCCGGGUGUAGCGGUGGAAUGCGUAGAGAUCCGGAAGAACACCGGUGGCGAAGGCGGUUAGCUGGGCAGUUGCUGACACUGAGGCGCGAAAGCGUGGGGAGCAACAGGG